ACUUUCAAAGGAUAACAGUAAUCCAAUGGUCUUAGGAACCAGCUAUCUUGGUGCAAAUCCAAGUGAAAGUA
rnacentral:tRNA from 2 species